UGUCCCCGUCGGUUGGAUCCCCGCUUCGGGCGGCGACGACCGUUCGGGCAUGGCUCUUCAUUGUUGGUCCAAGUGCUCUAAUGCCUUGGGUCGGCCUCGGUCGCCUGUGUUGCAUACCCACGAUGACGGAAUUCGUGUUUAAAACAGUCCCUCACCACCUCGUGCUGCUAUGCGGCACGAGAUGGACCAUAUAGCUCCCCAUUUUGUCCGUGCCCGCACCACGUCUUUCGUGUUGCGAGCAAACGGCCAACUUGGUGGUGCUUGAUGCCUCGGAUACAGAAACCUAAUGAGGGAGAGGGGUUACGGUCCCUGCUUUCCCAACGCAAGCGUUCUCGCUUCUCACGAAUGACUGGCGUGCCCACGUUGAGCCUUGGGCGCCCCAAAGG
rnacentral:misc_RNA from 1 species